CCUAGAGUUGUAGGCUUUGCCUGCUAUCUCUCACCCAUGUCUUUUGAGUACCUUCGUUUCCUCGGCGGGUCCGCCCGCCGAUUGGACAAUUUAAACCAUUUGCAGUUGCAAUCAGCGUCUGAAAAACUUAAUAGUUA
rnacentral:misc_RNA from 1 species